UGAAUAUACUAUGAUCGGGCAUUAGGAAGUGUGCUACUUGUUAUAACAUCAUUUACUAAGUUAUUGCACUAAUUUGAGGAUUUUACAAGUUGUUGGACCAAUCUGCACCUAACUAACAAGUUGUUGUGUGGUGGCUGCAAUUUACUCAUUUAUUAUUUAUAUAUUGUAAAGUUCCACCUUCUUCCUUGGGUCCAAACCAUACUCUAAAAUGUGGUAUCCCUUAUUUAAACAACAAAACCAAUUACGCAUGAAAUAAUCAUAAAAAAUUCUCAAACUAGUUCAGUCAUUUUUCUUAGGUGUCUUCAUAGUUCGGGUCAAUUUCAAGAAGUCUUUUCAGUAUUCUUAAGUGCCCCUAAAGAUCGGAAUAGGAGCUCAUUAAGUAGUGCUAUUGUUUUCUCUAUCAUCACUAUGCAUGAUAUUUGCAAGCCUUGACUCUCCUUUUUUCAUUUUAUUUUUUGAAAAUAUAGAAAUAUUUCUAUCUAAUCAUUAUUCAAAAAACUCCAAUCAUGCUAAAUAAAACUAGUGAAAGUGCAAGGUGAUCAAUACGUUACUUGCACACAGCACAAUUUGUCUAGUUUUGAGAUACAUCAUUUUGCCUUCUCAUAUUCAAAAAAUUCCACUAGAAAUUCUAGUUGUGUUAUAGAACCCUUGAAUCAGGAUGACCUUAUGUUUUCAGUUGUUCCACUUUCAUCUUCUUCCUUUUAUUCUCAUAAUCAUCCUUGUUCUUUCCAAUUUGAUGAUCACUUGUUACAAUUUUAAUACAUCGACCAUGCAUCACCCAACACUACCCUCACCCCCAACACUCAAGAGCAUGCCCAUGUUGACGGUCCUUAUGACAGAAAUUCGAUCAUCACAUUACUCAAAGGUUAAAGGAAAACUAACAAUUCUUACUUGCAUAUUUGUUAUCAAUAACCUAGUUCCACAUGUAUUGGAAAAUAAGUGAUUUUAGGAAUACAAGUCUACAUAAAAGAGAGAAACCUGGGCAAACGCCAGAGAAACACACCGAAGAUCAUUCUCCACGAAGCAAGAAUACUAAAGGGCCCACAUGCUAGGGCAAACUAGCCCAAUCCAGUGGGGGUCCACAUGGAAAAGCGCCAAGGACCAUCUAGCAGCCCACCACACAAAAGGUAGUGGAGAACCGACCCUGGACAGGCAGUUCCCAUCCUCAUCCUCCAUGUGGCACUUGAUGGUUGACUCCCCAAGGCGGUGGUGAGAGAUUCCCUAGAAUAUUCGCCCGGGAACCGCCCUCUACCAACUAUAAGAAGAGGAGGAGACCCCCUCACAACACACACCACACUUGAAGCCUCCCUCUCUCUAAAUACUUUUGUAAUCCUUAGGCUAGUGGAGCUAGGCUAGAGCUGAAACUCUUGUAGUGCUAAGCCAGUCGUCGGGUCGGUUGGGGACGUAACCUCCGACUCUUGGUAUAGCUUUGUACUCGACUUGUCGGUAUUCUAUCUAUAAAGAUUAUGGUUGCUAUGAUAUUUCGGUAGUAUGCUAUGCCAUGUCUUGUGCUUUAUUAAGUUAUACUCAUAUGCUUAGGCUGAAUCUAUAUUACUACAUUGGUUCGUUGUGCCUUUGAGCUUGCUCUAGUUCUAUGCCUGUCGAUCAUCUUGGUCGGUGUUCCAGAGGGGCUAGAGUAGUGAUCACGUAUAUGUGCUCGGGCGUGUUGGGAUCCAUUGAAUAUGACUGUAUCCCACGGUCUGUCGGGGUAGGCAGCAGGUGGUGAUAGCCCUGUUCGUCCCUUGUAGUCCCCCACGUUCAGGUAUGGUGUAGGAGUUCUGAAAGAUAUCUUACCCUGGCAGACCAGGGAGGGAUAUUCUCCCUGUAAUGAUGUAUGCUUAGAGUUAGUUCUAAUCAUGUGCUUGUAUGACCUUUGCUAGUAUAGAUGGAUGCUACUAGGACCUCUUGUAUGCCUUGCUCUCGCUAACCUUAGGUUUAUUCAUUUAUUUUUUAUUCAUGAGAUUGGCUUGUGUGUGUGUCACAUUACCCAUAUACCUAUAUCACGGCUGUUGAUGGCAGUUAACGCGCCAAUUCGUGAACCGCAAGCGCACAAAUUAGUUGUAUCUUUUACCUUAGAGUAUUCCCCUAAGGUUUAUCAAUCCGUGGAACAAGUAGAUUGUUGGCUCUCACUUUAUACCAAUUUUGCUAACGAAAC
rnacentral:lncRNA from 1 species